GAUGAACGCUAGCGGCAGGCCUAACACAUGCAAGUCGAGGGAGAAGCCCUUCGGGGCAGAAACCGGCGCACGGGUGCGUAACGCGUAUGCAACCUACCUUUCACAGGGGGAUAGCCCGGAGAAAUUUGGAUUAAUAUCCCAUAAUAUUGUUGGAUGGCAUCAUUUGGCAAUUAAAGUUACGAUGGUGGAAGAUGGGCAUGCGUCCUAUUAGCUAGUUGGCGAGGUAACGGCUCGCCAAGGCGACGAUAGGUAGGGGUCCUGAGAGGGAGAUCCCCCACACUGGUACUGAGACAGGGACCAGACUCCUACGGGAGGCAGCAGUGAGGAAUAUUGGUCAAUGGUCGGAAGACUGAACCAGCCAUGCCGCGUGCAGGAAGGCGGCCUUAUGGGUUGUAAACUGCUUUUAUAUGGGAAGAAUAAGGUGUACGUGUACAUUGAUGACGGUACCAUAUGAAUAAGCAUCGGCUAACUCCGUGCCAGCAGCCGCGGUAAUACGGAGGAUGCGAGCGUUAUUCGGAAUCAUUGGGUUUAAAGGGUCUGUAGGCGGGCUAUUAAGUCAGGGGUGAAAUAUUUCAGCUUAACUGGGAAAUUGCCUUUGAUACUGGUAGUCUUGAAUAUUUGUGAAGUUUUUGGAAUGUGUAGUGUAGCGGUGAAAUGCAUAGAUAUUACACAGAACACCGAUUGCGGAGGCAGGGGACUAACAAAUAAUUGACGCUGAGAGACGAGAGCGUGGGGAGCGAACAGGAUUAGAUACCCUGGUAGUCCACGCUGUAAACGAUGGAUACUAGCUGUUUGGUAGGAAUAUUGAGUGGCUAAGCGAAAGUGAUAAGUAUCCCACCUGGGGAGUACGCACGCAAGUGUGAAACUCAAAGGAAUUGACGGGGGCCCGCACAAGCGGUGGAGCAUGUGGUUUAAUUCGAUGAUACGCGAGGAACCUUACCAAGGUUUAAAUGGUGACUGACGUACCUAGAGA
rnacentral:rRNA from 1 species